rnacentral:rRNA from 1 species
ACUCAAAUGAAUUGACGGGGACCCGCACAAGCGGUGGAGCGUGUGGUUUAAUUCGACGCUAAGCGGAGGACCUUACCAAGGUUUGACAUCCUAGUCGCAUCUUUUGGAAACAUUAGAGUCAGUCUGCUGGACUAGUGACAGGUGCUGCAUGGUCGUCGUCAGCUCGUGUCGUGAGAUGUUGGGUUAAGUCCCGCAACGAGCGCAACCCUCGUCGUGUGUUACAUGUGUCACACGAGACUGCCUCGGUUAACGAGGAGGAAGGUGGGGAUGACGUCAGAUCAGCAUGGCCCUUAUACCUUGGGCGACACACGCGCUACAAUGGCCAGUACAAUGGGUCGCGAAAUCGUAAGAUGGAGCUAAUCCCACCAAAGCUGGUCCCAGUUCGGAUUGAGGGCUGCAACUCGCCCUCAUGAAGCCGGAAUCGCUAGUAAACGCGGAUCAGCCACGCCGCGUUGAAUACGUUCUCGGGUCUUGUACACACCGCCCGU